CCGAACAUCCUCGUGGCCGCAGCAGAAGCAUAAGAGAAGUUGACACUUGGUGGAAGUACUGAGCAAUGCGGGAAGUUGUCACCAAAGAGUUUGUUCUUUGCCACAACAGUUCUUCACCGUUGCUGUAAGUGGCAUCACCAUGCGGAGCUUCCGACAUGCCGUCUCUUCCAGCUAGACUGUUCCGAGAGGUUUGAAGCACGAAACUCCAUGAGACCUCAUGCGACACGGCAAUAGCUCACUUUGUGCAAGAUGAAAGUGUUGUUAGAGCAACUAGAACGCAGGACGGAAGGUGUGUAGGACGGAAGUGCAGACAGACUACGUAAGUUGGAGUGGUUCCACAAGGUGCCCAUUGUCUCCGGAGAUGGCCCCGAGCAUUGAGAGGCACGUGGGUACGAUUCGCUGUGGUCUCAAGUUUCUAAUUACUCUGAUUGGUCAUGCUCAGGAGUCAUGGUGCAGAUUAACAUGGACCAAAACGAAGUUACGGACACGGAGCGGCCGACGGCGAGUGGAACGAAUGGUCAGCCCACAACGCCAUACGUUGAGGCGCCCAGUCCGACUAGAACCCGUUCUGUCGACUCGCAAUUGCCACUGCUGGCUAGUUCUUGCGAUGUGGAAUCGGCUGCAUCGACAGACGUGGCCUCGACAAUCCCGCUUCCAAACCUGAUUGCGGAGUUGCACGUUGAUCCGGCAGCUCAUCCGCCUGCGGCCACGGCUACGACUGUGGAUUUGGCAGCGCACGCUGCUUCAUCUACGACUCGGUCUGCAGUUGCCCCUGCGCCUUCUGCCGCGGCUACUGCUGCGAAAGCUAGCAGGGAAAACAAACGUGCGUCCUCUGCGUGGAAGAGGAAGCGCAUGAAGAUGAACAUGGACCAACACAAAGCUAAGGACACGGAGCGGCCGACGGCUAGCGGCAUGAAUGGUCAGCCCGCCACGCCAGCCGUUGAGGCACCCAGUUUGACUCGAAACCCGUCCGUCGACUCGGCGUUUCCAUUGCUGGCUAGUCUUCGGGAUGCGGAAUCGACUGCCUCGGUAGCCGUGGCUUCGACAUUGGCUCCGGCUCCGCUUCCAAACCUGAUUGCGGAGUUGACCGUUGAUCCGACAGCGCAUCCGCCUGCCGUCACGGCUACGACAUUGGAUUUGGCAGCGCGCGCUGCUUCCUCUACGACUCGGGCUGCAGUUGCUCCUGCACGUUCUGCCGCGGCUACAGCUACGAAAGCUAGCAGUGAAAACCGACGCGCCUACUUCGCGUGGGGGACGCAGCGCAAAUUAUUCCAGCGCCGAAGCGAUGCGGAAAGGGAGGUUUUAAGGCUGCAAAACACACCAUGGAGAGCUUCAAUUGAACAGCCAAGACCUGAAGAACGACAGACAGGAGUUGAGGGAUUUGGCCAAACUAGCAGCGGCAUGCAAAUAGCGUGCACCGGCAGGAUCUAUCCUUGCGAAGUCUGUCGCUACCACUUCGACGUCAACCUAGACCGACGGCAGGUCCUGUUGAACUGGUUCGGAGACAGCAAUAACUUAGAAAACCACCUCUUAUUUCUGUGCGGCUUGAUCUUCGCCAUCAGCCUAUCGAUGUCGCUAACGUUCUUCUGGCUGGAAUACGCCCGUCGUACAGCGAACAUGUCCUGGCUGCUGACCAUGCCACUGGGAAUCGCCUUCGCCUUCCAUAGCGUCGUGUGGUUGUCCGCAGCUUCAUUCUUACUAUGAUGAACAUGGAUCAGAGCAACUCCGAGAACACGACGCCGCCGCCUACGGCCAGCGGCGUGACUGAUCAGCCCACGACGCUUGCCGGUUUGACUCGAAACCCGUCUACGGCCUCGACUUUUCCUUUGUUGACUGCUCUUUUGGAUUCGGAAUCGGCUGUGGACGUGGCCUCGACAAUGACUCCGCCUCAGUGUCCGGCUUCGGUGGCCGCCGCGCAUGAGAAUCCGGCUGCGCAUCCAUUUGCGGCUCUGGCUACAACGACGGAUUCGGCAGCGCACGUCGCUUCGUCUACUGCGGCUGAAGUUAUGGCCGUGCCCUCAACCACUGCCAGUGCCGCUGCUGCUGCUGCUGCCGCCGAACCUAUCAACGAAAAUGUUUCUACGAUCUUCAGAUGGAACACAAGUUGGGCACACUUGGAGCGCCAAGAAGCGGCUACGAGGCAAGCGCCAAUAAGACAACGUCCCCCGCAAGGGCCUCUGGGCGAUGACCGAAACGCCCGUGUCGUGCGAGAAACGUACUACGCCAAGGCUUACCCGUGCGACAUCUGUCGCUACCACUUUGACGUCCACCUAGACCGACGGGAGGCCUUGGUGAACUGGUUCAGGGACAGCGACAACCUGGACUACCACGUGUUGUUUCUGUUGAGCGUGCUGUUCGCCACCGGCCUGUCGAUGUCCCUCACGUUCGCCUGGCUCGAAGCCUCCCAAUGGAUGGCCAACUGGCCCCUGUGGCUGACUGUGCCGCUGGGGAUCGCCUUGGCCGUGCACAGCUGCGUGUGGGCAUGCGUGGCUCUAUACUGCCUUUGUGAUUCUCUGCCGGCAACACCUGCGGCUCUAAUCAGACCAUUCAAGCGAGCCUGAAAGUCUGAUGCCUUUCCGCAAACUUCGUUUACGCAUAAGUGUGCUUCGUUUAUACCUGGCGGAAAGCAAGCACCAUCCGCAGGCCCGCCACGGACCCGUGAUGCGUGUCACGGGCUGCUGCUGGGACGCGUCCUCCGAGGCACCGCGCAGGCGCAGUAGCUUCCCAG